rnacentral:sRNA from 1 species
AAAAAUGGCUGAUCACCCCCCCCCCCUCCUCCUUCCUUUUGGUUCUGCAGACUUCGGCAGUCUUUAUGUCUUAUCUAGUUGUGAGGUUGUGUGGUGGGGUGGAGAGUAGUGGGAUCUCUGUAGUGGUCGUCAAUGUCCCCCACAACUCCACUCUCGCAGCUCUCGAUCAGUGAGUAACUCCGGUAGAAACUAGAAUUAGAAUGGGGACCAAUUGGACUAGCCUUCCAGCACUCAUUGGCAUUAGACACCAGGUACCUGGUGACUUUUGGCAGACGAUUGGUUUUCAGAAGAUAGAAGAUGAUCAGUCGCAUGAAGAUCUGACUGAUGAGCAUGAGGCAGGCGAACCCGAACAGGAUGUAACAAGUGUUGAAUAGGAUCUGCCGAAGAGUUACCACCAAGGGCAGCAACUCUGUGUGGAGGUACUCCAUGAACGUCACGUCUCUAAACUCUGAAAAAAAAACAAAACGAUGCAGGGCAUGUUUAGUGCAAUUUGACGGCAUAUAUGAUUUUCAUUUUCAUUCAUAAAUAAAUGCUUAUUUUCCAAAUAUGGUACCUUGGAGAUAUUGUGGAUGAAUUGGCAUAAAGUUACAUCCCUGUAGGGUGUCUAGGAGUGACAACGUUGGUUGUGUAUGUUGACAUGGGGAUGCAUUUUCUAUAGAACACAAUUCCUGCACAAGACUCUCAACAAUAGAGGUCUGAAAAUAAAAUGAAAUCACAAAAUUAAGAAAAAUUUAAUAACAUACAGAUAUUCAAAGAUCAAUUUUAC